rnacentral:rRNA from 1 species
UCUUUUAAAUAAAGGCUUGAAUGAAAGGUUGGACAAAGUAUCAUCUGUUUCUUAAAUAUUUAUUGAAUUUGACUUUUAAGUGAAAAGGCUUAAAUAAUCCAAAAAGACGAUAAGACCCUAUAAAUCUUUACAAUAAAUAUAUUUUAUAUUUAAGUUUAUAAGUAUAUAAAACAUAAAAAUAUAAAUUUGUUUCGCUGGGGCGGCGUAGAUAUAUUAAUAAACUGUCUAUAUUUUAAAUACAAUAAUCAUUGCUUAAUACAGAUUGAUCCUUAAAUAGAUUAAAAGAUUAAGAUACUUUAGGGAUAACAGCGUUAUUUUUUUUGAGAGUUCUUAUCGAAGAAAAAGUUUGCGACCUC